CAAAAAUAUUAAACUUGAAAAUUUGAAAAGAUAUUUGUUUUAUGCCAGUUCUGUUUUUUUUACAUACAAAUUUUGCUAUUUUUAUUUUAAAUUGAAAAAGAAGAAGAUCAAAAGGUAGAAAGGGUUCAAUUAAACGUUGUCGCGACGAAGUUGCCUCUAAAUUCAACGACUGGUGAGGUCCGUGAAGCAUUUGCUGCACUUGCUGGAACGUUGAGUAUGAUUCCGAAUGCCCGCGACGAUUCUAGUAAUUCCAGCGAUUUCAGUGAUUUCAUAAGUCAAAAAGGAAUAAUUGACGACAUCGCCAAAAAUCAAGAUAAAAUUGCGGAAUUUCUUGAACGACCAGAAAGAGAUUUGGACAAUAUAGCCAGUCUUACUAA